CAAUAAAGUCGCGCGAUUUCCGCCAGCAAAUCGCAGCAAAGAGAUUCUGCGCAUGCACUUCGACGGUAUAUGUUCUUCGUUGUCGCCGAACCGGUCAUCAUCGUAACAGUAUAGUGCCUUGCAAGUGCCUCGUAUUCUAAUUUUAAUAUUAAAUUGAAUCAGUAGUUUGCCUCAUAUCGAAUCAUCUCGGCGGAUGAAAGAAACUGCAGGAAAGUUAACGUAGAACAUCAUUGGAAAAUUAGAAUUUUUGUAUAAUGGUUGAACGGCAACAGUACAUAAAGGUCAUAUAGUAUAUAAAGGUGGUGUUGCAAUCGUUAGAAGUACUUGGUUAACACCUUGAAAAAAAGAAGUGUUUUGGCCACCUAUAAAGGAUCGAAAGAAAUUUGAUAAAAUUUUAUAAAAUACUGACGUUGCGGAUCAAAAUUGGAAACUUUAUUCAGUAGUACGAUGCUUAUAUGAAACUGAUGAUUUACAAAAAGCUCGACAAAAAUGUAAAUUGUUAGAAGAAACAUCUGAUUUACAAAUAGAUCAAGACAAUAAAACUUUCAAAAGGAAAAGAGUGCCUCGUCAAAUUAGUUUAAGCAAUAAAAAGAAAGUGGUGAGAUCCAUGUUUGGCCAUCAAAAUUAAAAACCAAAUUUCUAAAUUCGAUUCAACCUCAAGAAAAAACUCCAAUUUUUAGAAAUGAAACAGAUUCUUCCAAUGUAAAUUCUUUUGAAGUUUCCGAACAGACGCUAUGUAAUAGUUCAAAAUUUCUUACGUCUAAUAUAUUUCAUGAACAAGGACCUAGUAAUAGUUCAAAAUUUUUUACGUCUAAUGUAUGUCAUGAACAAGGAUCUAAUGUAGACUAACAGAAUUAGUAGAUAUCAUACGCACGAGAUUAAUGCAGAAAAUAGUAUUACAGAAUCAAAAGGGUGUCUUAUUUUAAGAGGGCACCUCGAAUAAUUUCGAAGGAAGUGAUUUUCAAAGAAAAUAUUUCAGACAACAGUUGUAUUGUUUCAAGGGGGACAUAAGACAGUACUAUUAGUUUGAGCUCGAAUGGCGUCGUCAAGCUCAGGUCAAAGUCACAUCAAUUUUUUUAAAUGGAACAUACUGUUUUUGAUUCCAAACUCUAAUAGCUGGUGUCAAGAGCUUUCCAAAACUCUAUAAGAAAGUUUAUUUU